UACGUAGGGGGCUAGCGUUGUCCGGAAUCAUUGGGCGUAAAGCGCGUGUAGGCUGCUCAGAAAGUCGGAUGUGAAAGCCCUGGGCUUAACCUAGGAAGUGCAUUCGAAACUUCUGAGCUUGAGUUCUGGAGAGGAAGGCGGAAUUCUCGGUGUAGAGGUGAAAUUCGUAGAUAUCGAGAGGAACACCGGUGGCGAAGGCGGCCUUCUGGACAGUGACUGACGCUGAGACGCGAAAGCGUGGGGAGCAAACAGG
rnacentral:rRNA from 1 species